rnacentral:rRNA from 1 species
AUGGGCUUCGGCCUGGUGGCGAGUGGCGAACGGGUGAGUAAUACAUCGGAACGUACCCAGAAGUGGGGGAUAACGCAGCGAAAGUUGCGCUAAUACCGCAUACGUUCUACGGAAGAAAGUGGGGGAUCUUCGGACCUCAUGCUUUUGGAGCGGCCGAUGUCUGAUUAGCUAGUUGGUGGGGUAAAGGCUCACCAAGGCGACGAUCAGUAGCUGGUCUGAGAGGACGACCAGCCACACUGGAACUGAGACACGGUCCAGACUCCUACGGGAGGCAGCAGUGGGGAAUUUUGGACAAUGGGCGCAAGCCUGAUCCAGCAAUGCCGCGUGAGUGAAGAAGGCCUUCGGGUUGUAAAGCUCUUUUGUCAGGGAAGAAACGGCUCCGGCUAAUAUCCGGGGCUAAUGACGGUACCUGAAGAAUAAGCACCGGCUAACUACGUGCCAGCAGCCGCGGUAAUACGUAGGGUGCAAGCGUUAAUCGGAAUUACUGGGCGUAAAGCGUG